rnacentral:lncRNA from 1 species
UUUUUAUUUCAAAGUCACUUAUAAUUAUGUUGAGAUAUUUUAGAAAUUCACGGAUAUUAUGUUGCGAAAGAAUUAGCGGGUGCGGAUAUUACGUGUGAGAAAGAAAAUAUUUAUCUUUAUUUGGGAAUAAAUUAUUACAAGCUCAAAUAUAGAUUUUCUACUUUAGGAAAAAUAAAAUUAGAUUUUUAAGGAAAUAAUAUCUUUUACGAUAUUAUUAAAAAUCAAAGGAAAUUUUAUUUCAAAGUCACCUAUAAUUAUGUUGAGAUAUUUGAAAAAUUCACGGAUAUUACGUUGCGAAAGAAUUGGCGGGUGCAGAUAUUACGUAAAUAUGAUAUAAAUGCAUGCGAGAAUAAUAUUGUCACAAAAAGUAACAGAUACUUUUAUUUUCAAUCAUUAGAUAAGAUCUAAUGGCAAAAAAUUAAUACUUUUAUUAUAUUAUUAAAAAUCAUCUAUAAUUAUGUUAUUUGAGAAAUUCACGGUUAUUACGUUGCGAAAGAAUUGGUGAGUGCGGAUAUUACGCGUGAGAAAGAAAAUAUUUAUCUUUAUUUUUAUUUCAAAUUCACUUAUAAUUAUGUUGAGAUAUUUGAGAAAUUCACGGAUAUUAUGUUGCGAAAGAAUUGGCGGGUGCGGAUAUUACGCAUGAGAAAGAAAAUAUUUAUCUUUAUUUGGGAAUAAAUUAUUACAAGCUCAAAUAUAGAUUUUCUACUUGAAAAAUAAAAUUAGAUUUUUUAAGGAAAUAAUAUCUUUUACGAUAUUAUUAAAAAUCACAUAUAAUGAAGGAAAUUUUAUUUUAAAGUCACCUAUAAUUAUGUUGAGAUAUUUAAGAAAUUCACGGAUAUUACGUUGCGAAAGAAUUGGCGGGUGCGGAUAUUACGCGUGAGAAGGAAAAUAUUUGAGAAACGCAUAGAUAGAAAAUAUGAUAUAAAUGCAUGCGAGAAUAAUAUUGUCACAAAAAGUAACAGAUACUUUUAUUUUUAAUCAUUAGAUAAGAUCUAAUGGCAAAAAAUUAAUAUCUUUUAUUAUAUUAUUAAAAAUCAGCUAUAAUUAUGUUGAGAUAUUUGAGAAAUUCACGGAUAUUACGUUGCGAAAGAAUUGGCAGGUACGGAUAUUGCGCGUAAGAAAGAAAAUAUUUAUCUUUAUUUUUAUUUCAAAGUCAUUAUAAUUAUGUUGAGAUAUUUGAGAAAUUCACAGAUAUUAUGUUGCGAAAGAAUUGGCGGGUGCGGAUAUUACGCGUGAGAAAGAAAAUAUUUAUCUUUAUUUGGGAAUAAAUUAUUACAAGCUCAAAUAUAGAUUUUCUAUUUUAGGAAAAAUAAAAUUAGAUUUUUUAAGGAAAUAAUAUCUUUUACGAUAUUAUUAAAAAUCACCUAUAAUGAAGGGAAUUUUAUUUCAAAGUCACCUAUAACUAUAAUUAUGUUGAGAUAUUUGAGAAAUUCACGGAUAUUACGUUGCGAAAGAAUUGGCGGGUGCGGAUAUUACGCGUGAGAAGGAAAAUAUUUGAGAAACGCGUAGAUAAAAAAUAUGAUAUAAAUGCAAGGAUAAUAUUGUCACAAAAAGUAACAGAUAAGAUCUAAUGGCAAAAAAUUAAUAUCUUUUACUAUAUUAUUAAAAAUCACCUAUAAUGAAGGGAAUUUUAUUUCAAAGUCAUGUUGAGAUAUUUGAGAAAUUCAUGGAUAUUACGUUGCCGUGUGAGAAGAAAAAUAUUUAUUUUUAUUUGGGAAUAAAUUAUUACUUAGUUAAUUAUUUGAAAUGAUUGGUUGAAAAUUACUGGACAUAAAAAUAUUAGUAAAAAGGAUAGAUGCAUUUUUGGAAAGAGAAAAAAAUUCAAAACUCAUGCUUUUAUAAGCAGUAUAGAUAUAGAUAUUGCAUGU